GCCUAAAAUGCUGAGCUUUGUAUUUCUCUCUCUCUCUCUCCCCACCUCCCGUUUCUUCUUUUUCAUUUUGCAAAAAUUGGGGGUUGGGAGAGAGAGAGAGAGAAAGGUAAGGACACAGUUCGAUGGCAUUG